rnacentral:rRNA from 1 species
GUGGGGAAUAUUGGACAAUGGGCGAAAGCCUGAUCCAGCCAUGCCGCGUGUGUGAAGAAGGUCUUCGGAUUGUAAAGCACUUUAAGUUGGGAGGAAGGGCAGUAAGUUAAUACCUUGCUGUUUUGACGUUACCGACAGAAUAAGCACCGGCUAACUUCGUGCCAGCAGCCGCGGUAAUACGAAGGGUGCAAGCGUUAAUCGGAAUUACUGGGCGUAAAGCGCGCGUAGGUGGUUUUGUAAGUUGGAGGUGAAAUCCCCGGGCUCAACCUGGGAACUGCCUACAAAACUACUGAGCUAGAGUACGGUAGAGGGUAGUGGAAUUUCCUGUGUAGCGGUGAAAUGCGUAGAUAUAGGAAGGAACACCAGUGGCGAAGGCGACUACCUGGACUGAUACUGACACUGAGGUGCGAAAGCGUGGGGAGCAAACAGGAUUAGAUACCCGAGUAGUCC